GAUGAAGAACGCAGCGAAAUGCGAUACGUAAUGUGAAUUGCAGAAUUCAGUGAAUCAUCGAAUCUUUGAACGCAUAUUGCGCUCUCUGGUAUUCCGGAGAGCAUGCUUGUUUGAGUAUCAGUAAACACCUCAACUUCCAUAUCUUUUUUGAAAUGGGAGUUGGACUUGAGUGAUCCCAACGCUUUUCCUCACCGAAAAGUGGCGGGUUACUUGAAAUGCAGGUGCAGCUGGACUUUUCUCUGAGCUAUAAGCAUAUCUAUUUAGUCUGCCUAAAAAACAGAUUAUUACCUUUGCUGCAGCUAACAUAAAGGAGAUUAGUUCUUGUGCUGACUGAUGCAGGAUUCACAAAGACGGCUUCGGCCGACUUUGUAAACUCGAUCUCAAAUCAAGUAAGACUACCCGCUGAACUUAAGCAUAUCAAUAAGCGGAGGAA
rnacentral:misc_RNA from 1 species